GACGAACGCUGGCGGCGUGCUUAACACAUGCAAGUCGAGCGGUAAGGCCUUUCGGGGUACACGAGCGGCGAACGGGUGAGUAACACGUGGGUGAUCUGCCCUGCACUUCGGGAUAAGCCUGGGAAACUGGGUCUAAUACCGGAUAUGACCUCCUAUCGCAUGGUGGGUGGUGGAAAGAUUUAUCGGUGCAGGAUGGGCCCGCGGCCUAUCAGCUUGUUGGUGGGGUAAUGGCCUACCAAGGCGACGACGGGUAGCCGACCUGAGAGGGUGACCGGCCACACUGGGACUGAGACACAGCCCAGACUCCUACGGGAGGCAGCAGUGGGGAAUAUUGCACAAUGGGCGAAAGCCUGAUGCAGCGACGCCGCGUGAGGGAUGACGGCCUUCGGGUUGUAAACCUCUUUCAGCAGGGACGAAGCGCAAGUGACGGUACCUGCAGAAGAAGCACCGGCUAACUACGUG
rnacentral:rRNA from 1 species